GCUCUGAGUUCGUUUUCGUGUCUAUUUCAUGCCAAAAUGACUCCGACUCAUUCCGACACUACAGAUGUGUCGACAAGCCACUGAUGCUGUAGUCAGUCAAACAGCUAAGCCCCAGAGACGCUACACGUUCGUCUUCUAAUAUACUCUAACAAUAUUUUUCACUUUAUAAAAUUUUCAAAAAUUCAUAUAAAUUGUCAUGUCGAGUGUGAACUACACAUAAAAUUUUAGUUUAAACUUUUGUUAAAAUUCACAAUUUUCACCUCUUGUUCCCUUCAAAUUUCCACAAAAUCUUUACAAGUCUAAUUUACCAUCAAAUCAAUCCAACUUUACAUAUUAAAUUUUGGAAAAGUCUACCUGUACUCCUAUAGGAAGGUGUAUAUCCUACACCCGUAUGAUCCAACGGCUAUUAUUAGAUCACUAGCACAGUAGCAGCUAACUUCACUCCCCUUUUAUUUUUUCUUCCUAAAGCUAAACCCUACUACACAUCUCUUUCUCUCUCUCUCCCCUUCACUUCCUUCUCGGUCCCGCUCGCUCUCUCGGUCCCGCUCGCUCCCUCGCCUCUCUCUUGAUCUCGCGCCUCUCUCGUCUCCUCUCUCGUCAUCUCGCGCUCUCCCCUUUCUCUUUCUCUCGCUCUCGCUCGCAGGGCACUCCACUCCAUCGGGCAGAAGUUCGGCAGCGCUCGUUCCACACAUCUGGUGUCCGAAGUCGUCUCGAAGGUGUCUCUCGGCCUCGCCUUUCUCCAUUGGUAGGAGGUCGCCUCUCAACUGCUUCCCUGUCCAUCCCAGUACCUGUGACGCAUUCCUUCAGUCGUGAGCAUCCGAAAUUGGGAACGAUUUCGGAGCUAAUUCGGCCACAAC
rnacentral:lncRNA from 1 species